AGCUCAUGCUCCAAAACGUCUGUUAGUCUAUAAGGUGCCACAGGAUUCUUUGCUGCUUUUACAGAUCCAGACUAACAUGGCUACCCCUCUGAUACUUGUACAAGCAAUUGCACUCUUGGGUGGAGUUGUACUUUGGGCUCCUAUUAUGUCUCCACUAGAGUAUAUAUUUUCUGGCUUCAUUGUAGUUUGAUACAGUACAAAAAUUGUAUAGUAUGCUGCAGGGCCAGCUCUAGCAAUUUCGCUGCCCCAAGCACGGCUGCACCCUGUGGGGGGCGCUCUGCCGCUUGCUGGUCCCGCGACUCCGGUGGACCUCCCGCAGGCUUUUCUGCGGACGGUCAGCUGGUCCUGCAGCUGCGGUGGAGCUGCUGCAGGCGUGUCUGUGGGAGGCCCACCGGAGCCGCGGGACCAGCGGACCGUCCGCAGCCACGCCUGCGGCAGCUCCACCAGAGCCAUCUGCCACCCUCCCAGCAACCGGCAGAGCGCCCCCUGCGGCAUGCCGCCCCAAGCACGUGCUUGGCGCGCUGUGACCUGGAGCCGGCCCUAGUAUGCUGUUAGCUCUGGCUACAGGCAUUAUAUCAAAAUGCAUAAAUGAAAAAGUGAACUCAGUGGAAACUGAUGGGGAAAUAAGGAAACAAUCCACACCUAUGUAAUAGGCAGUUUAAUUCUAAAGGACUGAUAGCACAGAAUAAUAAGGAAGAGGCCAAGAAUAUGAUGACUGCUUUCAGCAUUACAUUUGAAAUGCAGUUUACCCUAUCCUAAUGGCAGGACCUCUUACCUUUUGUGUGAAGGGAGUAGUAUUGAGAUUCAUCAGCUUAAAAACUGUUACCAAGUUCUCAGUUGAAAUCUGAGACUCUGAUGUUACCCCAGGGCCGACUCCAGGCCACAGUGCGCCAAGCGCGUGCUUGGGGCAGCACGCCGCUGGGGGCGCUCUGCCGGUUGCCAGGAGGGCGGCAGCCGGCACUGGUUGACCUCCCGCAGGCGUCCCUGCGGAGGGUCCGCUGGUCCCGCGGCUCCGAUGGAGCAUCCGCAGGCACACCUGCGGGAGGUCCACCAAAGCCAUGGGACAGGCGAGCGGCAGAGCGCACCCUGUGGCGUUCCACCAUACUUGGGGCGGCGAAAUUGCUAGAGCCGGCCCUGUGUUACCCUCAAGUUUAUUCCCCCAAAUGUUUUUCU